UACGUAGGGGGCAAGCGUUAUCCGGAUUCACUGGGCGUAAAGGGAGCGCAGGCGGCACGGCAAGUCUGGUGUGAAAGCCCGGGGCCCAACCCCGGGACUGCAUUGGAAACUGCCGGGCUGGAGUGCCGAAGGGGUAAGCGGAAUUCCUGGUGUAGCGGUGAAAUGCGCAGAUAUCAGGAAGAACACCGGUGGCGUAGGCGGCUUACUGGACGGCAACUGACGCUGAGGCUCGAAAGCGUGGGGAGCAAACAGG
rnacentral:rRNA from 1 species